ACACAGAGCCGCCUUUCAGCCGCCCGAGUAGGGCCCGCCGCACUCCGCGACUACCGCGCCUGCCCUCGGGCCGGGGUCUGCGCGCACCACGCGGCCAGCAGGAAGGGUAAGAGAAGGGAACCCCGCUUAGCAGGGCUCCAACUUCGGCAGACGCGUUCCGGCGAGGCGAAAUGAGUCGGCCGUGAACGGUGUUUCCUGUUCCGAAUCCCGAGAGCCCUGGAAAGUUUUGAAGGAGGAGGCAUGGCCCAGCAGCCUUAUCGUUUUCCCCAGGCAAGGAUUCCGGAGAGAGGAUCAGGUGUUUUCAGGUUAACCGUCAGGCUGAAGUGCAGUGGUGCAAUCUUGGCUCACUGCAACCUCUGCCUCUUGAGUUCAAGCUAUUCUCGUGUCUCAGCCGCCUGAGUAGUUGGGAUUGCAGAAAUGCAAUGGCACAUCAUGAUUCUGAGAUGAAAGAAGAAUGUCUAAGGGAAGACCUGAAGUUUUACUUCAUGAGCCCUUGUGAAAAAUACCGAGCCAGACGCCAGAUUCCGUGGAAACUGGGUUUGCAGAUUUUGAAGAUAGUCAUGGUCACCACACAG
rnacentral:sRNA from 1 species